UAAUUUAGCAAAUCAAAUGAACAAUUGUGUGUCUGACUGGCCCAAACACUACAACGUUCUGUUUAUUGUAAGUGCAUGCUGAAGUUACGUUGUCUGCCAUUUCAGUGCUCAAGCUCUUAUGAUUGUCUGUCAGUGUUUUUAUUGUUCAUCAUCUGAAUUUUUUUUUCUGAAAGAGAUUCCAGCGAUAUUGUUUCUCUGUCAUUUAGUGUCAUUUAUUGUCCUUGGAGUGAAGAGGCCUUGAAUGAGGAAUGAACAUGGUCUACUUAUGCCCAAACAGAAAAGACAGAGAGCUGGAAAGUUGCACAUUUCCAUUGCCCUUAGAUUGAGCCAGUCAACUAUGCAAUCAUCUUUGGAAUUUGAGCAGGAAAUGAUUGAAUAUGAGGAUGAAGCCAGUUGAUGAAGAGAUUAUAUGAUUCAAUUCAAUGGCCACCAAGUGCAGCACUGCAGCCUGAACCCAUCAGUUAUCUGCUGUGAAGACUGCAUUUGAGAACAACUCUACUGUGACAGCUCAGAUGUUAAACUUCACAACUGAUCAACUGCAAGAUAGUUGUGGAGGGAUUCUUUUGGCCCAUACUCCAACAACCUCCAAAAGGAAUCAAUACAACAAUUAUGGACAUAUACACCAGGUGGUGUGUGAGGAGGACCAUCAGAGACUCCAGCCACCCGAGCCAUGGAGUGCUCUCACCGUUAUCAUCAGGCAGAUGUUAUCGUAGAACCUUCACCAGCACACUGCAAGAGAAAUUCUUUCCACAGGCAGUCAAAAUGAACUGAACUUAACUCCACACACAGCACACCAGCUUCAUAUGUACUGCGCUCUUACACUGACUGGACUGACUGUUGUAUUAGGAUGUGAGUCUAUAUAUUUAAAUCUAGACCCAACCCAGCUAGCAGAGAACAUUCCCAGAACUUUAGCAUUCUGUACAUGUUUGGUAAUAUGUCUUAAAGAAAUGUAAUGUUUACAUUAAAUGUAAUGUUUAAAGAAUGUUUUAAGGAAGAAAAACAAAUCAAAUUCAAAUUUCAAAUAACGUUCUUAUAAUGUUAAAUGUAAACAGUGAUAUCACAUUUUAACUGUAACAUUUCAAGGAAGUUUUGGGAAUGUUUUUGAGGUAACAGAUUAUACAAUAUUCUUAAUAAAACAUUGACACAAUGUUUCAUGAUAACUAAAAAAGAACAUCUCAGCCACAUUAGGAAAACAUUAUAAGGAUAUCAUUGAGGUCUGAGAUACCGGAAUGUUUUUAUAAAACAUUGUCAUAAUGUGACGUGUUAGAGUUAUAACAUUUUAACUGCAUCAUUUUGAGGAUGUUUUGAGGAUGUUCUUUAGGUAACAGAAUAGACAAUAUUCUUAAUAAAACACUUACACAAUGUCUCGUGGUAACAAAUGAAGGACAUUAUCUCAACCACAUUAGAAAAACAUUACAAGGAUCCCCGCUAAAAAUGUUUCACGUUCAGGGAAUGUUUUCAGCGGCAAGUUUUAUUUUAGUUCCCAGAAUGUUUUGCUAAAAGGUAGUAUAACAUUCUCUAAAAACAUUCUAAAAAUGUUUAUUGAUAAUAUUGUUAGAACAUUAUCCUCUAACAUAGCUUCCCAUCACAGUAGAUGUGGACUUACAAUUGCUCAGAUGUCAAAUUUUGGUUGAAAGUGAAAACCCAACCUUUGUUUGAUGCCAGCGUCAUUAAAUAACUCCAAAAACAGCAUUAUCAGCUUCACUUAUUAUAAACCAGAUUAUUCUGUCUUACAUUUACACAAGUUCUUAUUGAGAUUAACAGUUUAGAUGUUGAUGUCUGUUUAAAAGUAAUAGUUUAGUUUGAUGGCAAUAAGUGUUUGCUUUAGUUGGGCAAUUUGACUUUCAUCUCAGCUUUUUUUUAAGCUGCUCUAACUAUGUUUGUUAUGGUGAAAGCAGCAAGAGAAAAUGUGAUCCAAUGAUGGCUACUGCUGAUAUUAACAAUAUCAUAUAGAGAUCUGAUCAACUGAUCUCAUCUAGAGUUUAAUCUAUGCAGCUAGUUUUAUAUUAGUGAAUACAGCAAUGCAUUACAACAGCAUAAGAUCCAGUGGUCCUUUAAUUUGAUGAGCUGUAUUUCUAUCCACACUUUUCAAAACACAUUGUUUACAAACCAUUUGAAACUAUGAAUGC